ACGGCUGAGUAACGCGUAGGAAUCUGCCCCAAAGUGAGGAAUAACUGCCCGAAAGGGUGGCUAAUACCGCAUAUGAUCUUCGGAUUAAAGUCUUCGGACGCUUUGGGAGGAGCCUGCGUUAGAUUAGGUAGUUGGUAGGGUAAUGGCCUACCAAGCCUACGAUCUAUAGCUGGUCUGAGAGGAUGAUCAGCCAGACUGGGACUGAGACACGGCCCAGACUCCUACGGGAGGCAGCAGUGAGGAAUCUUCCACAAUGGGGGCAACCCUGAUGGAGCAACGCCGCGUGAAGGAUGAAGGUCUUAGGAUUGUAAACUUCUUUUAUAAGUGAAGAAUAUGACUGUAACUUAUGAAUAAGCACCGGCUAACUACGUGCCAGCAGCCGCGGUCAUACGUAGGGUGCAAGCACUAUCCGGAGUGACUGGGCGUAAAGAGUUGCGUAGGCGGCUUGUUAAGUAGAUAGUGAAACCUGGUGGCUCAACCACACAGACUAUUAUCUAAACUGGCAAACUCGAGAAUGGUAGAGGUAACUGGAAUUUCUAGUGUAGGAGUGGAAUCCGUAGAUAUUAGAAGGAACACCAAUGGCGUAGGCAGGUUACUGGACCAUUUCUGACGCUAAGGCACGAAAGCGUGGGGAGCGAACCGGAUUAGAUACCCGGGUAGUCCACGCCGUAAACGAUGGAUACUAGCUGUUGGAGGUAUCGACCCCUUCAGUAGCGAAGCUAACGCGUUAAGUAUCCCGCCUGUGGAGUACGGCCGCAAGGCUAAAACAUAAAGGAAUUGACGGGGACCCGCACAAGCGGUGGAUCAUGUUCUUUAAUUCGAUGGUAAACGAAGAACCUUACCAGGACUUGACAUCCUUGGGAGCACUACGAAAGUAGAGUG
rnacentral:rRNA from 1 species